rnacentral:rRNA from 1 species
AUUGAACGCUGGCGGCAGGCCUAACACAUGCAAGUCGGACGAUUGGCGGACGGGUGAGUAAUGUAUGGGCAACUGCCUGAUGGAGGGGGAUAACUACUGGAAACGGUAGCUAAUACCGCAUACCCUCAGAUGCACCCAUAUGGGAUUAGCUUGUAGGUAAGGUAACGGCUUACCUAGGCGACGAUCCCUCGCUGGUCGGAGAGGAUGAUCAGCCACACGGGAACUGAGACACGGCCCAGACUCCUACGGGAGGCAGCAGUGGGGAAUAUUGCACAAUGGGCGCAAGCCUGAUACAGCCAUGCCGCGUGUAUGAAGAAGGCCGUCGGGUUGUAAAGUACUUUCAGUCGGGAGGCGUUACCGACAGAAGAAGCACCGGCUAACUCCGUGCCAGCAGCCGCGGUAAUUC